GGGACCUGUACCCCCAAAAUCCUUUUCUGGUUUCCUAAUUAGCUACACCUGCAUACAAGCAAUCACACCUGAGUCCCAUUAACCAACCAUGAUGGAGAGGGAAACUUUUUAAAAGGGCUGCACUGGCCUUGCUGUGUUUUUCAGGUACUUGAUUUGGUAGCAGGUGACAGAAGGUGCAGAGUUUGCUGCUUCCUACAGCUGAAGCCAUGGGUUUUCUAGUAAUAUGGUGCAUGCUGUUCUUGUUAGUUAUGGGAGGACCUCAAAUAAAUGAUCAGAAGGUGCUUGUUGCAGAUGAUCGAUUGGAUUUAAGUAGUCUUAACUCUGGGAAUGACACUUUGUAUGGCAGUGAGACAUUUGGAAAUCAUACAUCGCCCUUGAAUACAAAUAACCACAACACAACUAUGUCCUCCACUAACCAGUAUCACUCUGAAUCUGAAACCCUAAAACAGAAUGGCUCUGUGUCCAAAGAACCAAAGUCUGGUGUUCAGCCCCUACCAAAUCCACGGGCAUCUCAACCACGUCAGUGCAAACCCAAACAGUCACAGGUGCCCCAGCAACAACUAAAAGCUUCCUGCCCACCCAAGAAGCAGCCUUCAUGCCGACCCUGUCCGCCCCAGGGGUCUAGCUGCUGGCCCUGCCCACACAAGGAGCAGUCUGUCUGCCGGCCUUGCCCAACCUUGAGCUGCCAGCUAAAGCAGCCCCAAAAGCCAGAGUUGUCUGAGCAUGUUGGUGACCCAGCACUGUAUCAGCCUCAGGUGACCCAGCAGACUGGUUUGCAUCCACCCAGUCUACAUCAGGUGACCCAGCAGACUGGUUUGCAGCCACACCAUCCACCCAGUCCCUCUCAGGUGAGCCGGCAGCCUGGUGUGGAUCCACCCAGCGUCCCUCAGGAGAGCCGGCAGCCUGUUGUGCAUCCACCCAGCGUCCCUCAGGAGAGCCGGCAGCCUGUUGUGCAUCCACCCAGCGACCCUGAGGAGAGCCGGCAGCCUGUUUUGCAUCCACCCAGCGACCCUGAGGAGAGCCGGCAGCCUGUUUUGCAUCCACCCAGCGACCCUGAGGAGAGCCAGCAGACUGGUGUGCCUCCACUCAUUACGCCUCAGGUGACCCAGCAGAAUGGUUUGCAUCCACCUCAUCUGCCUCACUUACCACAGCAGACUGGUUUGCAUCCAUUCACCCAGUCUAUCUCAGGUGACCCGGCAGACUGGUUUACAUCCACACCAUCUACCCACUCUAUCUCAGGUGACCCAGCAGACUGGUUUGCAUCCACCUCAUCUGCCUCACUUACCACAGCAGACUGGUUUGCAUCCACACCAUUCACCCAGUCUAUCUCAGGUGACCCAGCAGUCUCAUUUGCAUCCACCCAGUCUAUCUCAGGUGACCCGGCAGACUGGUUUACAUCCACACCAUCUACCCAGUCUAUUUCAGGUGACCCAGCAGACCAGUUUGCAUCCACACUUUCAACUUCAGGUGACAAAGCAGACUGGUUUACAUCCACAGCAUCCACAUCAGGUACCCCAGCAAACUGGUUUGCAUUCACACUCUCUGCCUCUGGCAAUGCAGCAGAAAGGCUUCCCACCCCUGCAUCCUCAGCCACCACAGGGCCCUCAGCAGGCUGCCUUUCUGCCCCAGCACCCCCAUCCACAGGUUCCCCAGCAGGCUGUCUUUCCAUCCCUGCACCCCCAUCCGCAGGUGCCCCAGCAGGCAGUCUUCCCGCCCCUGUACCUCCAUCCGCAGGUGCCCCAGCAGGCUGCCGUUCUGCCCCUGUACCCUCAGCCCAUGCCUCAGCAGACAUAUUACCAAUUCAAGCAGCUUCUGGAAGCCCAAUGGCCCCAACGGCCACUCUACCAGCUCCAGGCCAAGCAGCCACGCCACCAGCCUUUCAUGUCACACUACCAAUCCCGAUUGCCAAGCUACAGUCCCAAGGUGCCACUGUACCAGGCCAAGAAGCUUCAGCACCCCCGCAGAUCAGAUACCAACCUUAACGAUUUCAGAGCUUCAUGUCGGCACAUCAUCCUUGUGUUGAAGAAGAACCUGAGGGGAGCAGGGCACUGCAGUGUGGAACCCGCUGGACUAUUGGACUGACCUUUCAAAUGAACGUUUAGUUUGUGCUUUAGUCUUGAAUACCUGAUGUUUUGUAUGAUCUGUUUGAUGCCAAGUUUCUGAGAACCUUUGAAUGUUUUAAACAUGAAUCUUGAGGUUUGGUUUAGCUCAUGUUUUUGUUGUUGUUGUUUUUGUUAAGCCUGUGCAAAAAAUAAUCCACAUUCAACCAACACACCAGUGCUUUUCUCAGAUUUGUAGAUAUUCUUUGGUAAAUGGUGAAAAGCUGAUACCAAAACAGUCUCUGCAUUCUUUGAGAAACGGAUGUUGCAUCAUAACUGUUGUGACACGGGGGUUUAUGGUACCCACAUCCAAUCUAUUUAAGAUUUUUCUCUAUUUUAUGAUUGUGAUUAAUGGUUCUUAGAGGUUCUUUAGAUUUAUAAAGGUCUUAAAUUAGUGCACCUGUUUAGUAUAAGCUUGGUGGGGUAAGUGGGACCAGGUGCCCAGUUUCCCCAUGAAGCAGCCAAACAUUUAAAAUGCAAGUAUACCAAGCUGGGAGGCAGCACGUGCACAAGAAGCUACUGCAAUCUCUCAAUUUUUGCUCAAGCUGCAAAGCUGCUGGUGUCUGCUUUCCAGGUACAGCUUAAAUACUAACCAAAUCUGAAAGAGCACUGGACAAAGAUGGGAGUGUGUGUGAUUAAACUUUGCAGAUUAUUUUUAAUCCCUGUAUUCUCACUGUAACACUGAACAUGCCUAGUUUCUGUCAUUUGAACCAUUGUCAUCUGAAUUUGUCAUAUUAAAUUAAUAUAAAAGGUACUUUCUGCCAUCUUGACACUUAAUCUAUUUUUAGAAAUAACAUGCAUGCUAGCUGCACUGCAGUGAAGCUGCUGUGAGGUUUCUACCUAAAUAUAACUGACACCCAG
ensembl:lncRNA